GUACUCUUAGGAAAUCUUCUGUAAACAGAGCCUGCCCACUAGAAAGCUGCUUAAGGUCGAGCAUUCCCCUGGAGACACGGGCAUUUGCAGUGGAGAUAAGGACCUGACUGCCUAUCUUACAGAAAGAAAACGUCAGGGUGGGUGUGUGCUCCAAUAGAGACUGACUUCUCCUCAGCAGCGCCUUGGUGACCAGGACAUCCACAGGGGAGAGAAGAAGUUGACUACCUGGAAGAUGGACGGCCUGCCCAAGUCCCCUGUCUUUUCAGGGGACGCCUCAGGCCGGGAAGCCCGGAGCUGCCAAUUCCCACUUCCAGCCCCUGCCUCUGAGCCAGGUACUCAACCAGGAGAAUCCCGUUUGCCUGCCAGGUACUGCCAGGUUGUCAGCAACAACAGGGAUGGGAGGUGGGGAAAGAGAAAUUGAGUGCAGUUCUAAAUAUGAGGGGUAGAGGUUUCUAAGGGUUUUAUAUGUAUGUUCAUUUGGUUUGUCUGAAAAAUUGGGAAGAAAUUGAACCUGCUGGGAGGAGAAAAGGAAAGGGUUGGGGGAGUGUUUUUUUGUUCUGGGACUUGGUUCUGCUCUGUGGUGUCACUUUCAUACCUGAAGAAAUAUCCUGAGGAGAUUCUAGGUGGACAGAGCCAGGCCAAAGGAGGAGGAAGAGGAAGGAGAGCUACUUCGGAUUCAGCAGACUGGGACACUCGCCAAGAACAUGAGGAACAGAAAGAAUGCCUGGCACACACAAAAAAAUAAGUACCCCAAAAUGGAUUCCUGAUACCGGAAACAAAAUCUGAUUUAUUUGUUUUCCAAACAUUCCUUUAAAAAAGUUGUCUGCCACCAUGAUUAUUUCAUUACAAAAUAUUUCCCUUGAACUUUCAAGGGAGAAACGUUUAAGACUGCCCUCUCAGAACUUUAUCCCCAAUGUGUUUUCAGUGGAAAAAACUUAGCAUUUCAGUCAGGGAGAGAUAGGUGGUGCAUUAGGUGGCAUGAGUUAAUCAUGCCAAAUGAGGGAGAUAAAGGGAGGUUACCCAGGAAAAGCCUGAGUAGGAAAUUUAAAAGGCAGGUGAAAAGGAAUUUGAUUAUAAAAUUCCUCAAGAAAUUUACUUUAAAUUCUCAUCACCAAAUUCUUUCCUUAGCAUCAAUGUGAAAGGUACGGUUUUCUCCACUGACUACUGGCACUGGGUAAUGUUUUGAGUGAGGAAAAUGAUGAACUUGAAGAGGCACAAGCAAAAUGUCUUGGACUCCAAGCUCUCUGAUGCAGCAUUAUUCGAGAAGAAAUCCCUACCGUUAUCUAGAAAGAUGCUGGUGAAGCUUGUUGCUCAAACUCAGUUGAUUCUUCCCAGGAACUCGGAUCGCCCUUGUCUUCAUCCGUGACCCCGGAGUUCAGUGGAUGCCUCAGGUUAGGAAGCCUGAAUGCCAGUUCCAGCUCCCAGUUGCCACCACCCAGCUAAGGUGCUCAACUCGUGAAGACAGGUCUCCCCUCCAAGGAACCCACAUGGUCUUAGCAGUUUCAGGGCAAGAAGAUGGUGCCUGAGGAAGUACUCUGAGGAAAUCUACUGUGAGGAGGGCCAGGGGAACAAGAGGAAAACUGCCUAUGGUCCAGCUUUCCCGUGCAGACCGAGACAUUUGCAGUGGAGAUACAGAGUUGACUG